GCCUUUCACCUUCUGCCAUGAUUGUGAGGCCUCCCCAGCCACGUGGAACUGAAGUCACGGGGUGACUCCAAGCAGGGCCCCCUUUGCAUUCAGCCUGCCCUUCUCUCAGCCCAGUCAUGCUGGCACCAGAUGAGCUGCUGCAGACUCAUGAGGAAAGAGUCAAGACAGGCUCUUUGAAACCUCCCUCUCCAGGCAUGCCACGUGAACAGAAGUUCCAGGAGACAGAAGAGAGGGGUGACAAGAAAUUGCCCUGAUCAAACUGCCACAGUGACACACCAUGAAAAACACACAGAGAUUGGCUCUGUGGCAAUGGCAUCAUACCCAGGUCACAGGUGCAAAUUUGGUGCAGCAAAGCAGCAUUAAAUAUUUUGCAUUAAAUUGAUGUUAAUUUGCUUUUGCUGGUUUUAUGGCUUAUUUUUAUAUCUGGAAUGAUGUUUUUGUUUCCCAUUAUAUAUAAACUAUAAGCAAAGGAAGUUUAUUCCUACCUUUGGUUUGUAAAAAUUUAAGUAGUGUUCAAAUACAAUCUUUAAGUCAA
rnacentral:lncRNA from 10 species